GGUUUGUCGUCAGCUCGUGUCGUGAGAAUGUUGGGGUUAAAGUCCCGCAAACGAGCGCAACCCUGGAUCAUUUAGGUGUGCCAUCAUUAAGUUGGGCACUCUAAAGGUGACUGGCCGGGUGGAACCAAACCGGAGGGAAAGGUUGGGGAUGACGGUCAAAAUCAAUCAUGCCCNAUUUAUGACCCUGGGCUACACACGUGCUNACAAUGGACGGUACAAAGAAGCUGCAAGACCGCGAGGUGGAGCUAAUCUCAUAAACCGUUCUCAGUUCGGAUUGUAGGCUGCAACUCGCCUACAUGAAGCUGGAAUCGCUAGUAAUCGCGGAUCAGCAUGCACGCGGUGAAUACGUUCCCGGGCACUUGUACACACCGCCCGUCACACCACGAGAGUUUGUAACACCCGAAGUCGGUGGGGUAACCUUUCUUGGAGCACCGAGGACAGAUNAUUGGGAGUCAU
rnacentral:rRNA from 1 species